rnacentral:sRNA from 1 species
UAGAUUCGAUGACCUUGUUGACACACUA